rnacentral:tRNA from 1 species
UCCCUAGUGGCUCAGACAGUAAAGCGUCUGCCUGCAACGAGGGAGACCCAGGUUCAAUCCCUGGGUUGGGAA